GCGGGAGUAGCUCAGUGGUAGAGUAUAACCUUGCCAAGGUUAGGGUCGAGGGUUCGAACCCCUUCUCCCGCUC
rnacentral:tRNA from 1 species